CUGGUAACUAGGUAACUGAGGUAACUGUGGUAACCAAGUUAUAUAUAGGUAACAGUGGCUGGUAACUAGGUAACUGAGGUAACUGUGGUAACCAAGUUAUAUAUAGGUAACAGUGGCUGGUAACUAGGUAACUGAGGUAACUGUGGUAACCAAGUUAUAUAUAGGUAACAGUGGCUGGUAACUAGGUAACUGAGAU